AAGGAGGCCUAGGGACGCAAGCAGGCUCGGCUGUCUCUUUAGGCCACGGAGCCGCGUAGAUCCGGAACCCCGGGCGACUAAUCUGUCCCCAUUUGGCGAGACCUACCUAGACAAAGGCCUUAACGUACCGACAAAGGCCUUAGGGGGCCUGGGAGAAGUCGUACAAAAUAAAUGUCUUCUGGAGAUGACUUUUGGAAAUGGAGUUAUUAGACAGCCUCUGGAAGCGAUACAUCCAUGUUUGUUCAGUGGGUUAGAUGACAUGGAGCUGGAAGACCUGAGAAGGAAGAGAAGAAGGUUCUAUGACAGACUGGUCAUAUUUAGAAGACACUUUCAUAUUCUAUCCAUAGUUUUGUAUGCAUUUUAUUCCUCACUACUGUAUAUAUAGUUGACAAUGCUAAGCUUUUUUGAAAUGUCUGUUUUUUUAGAUGUUCUGAAGUGCCUGAUA
rnacentral:lncRNA from 1 species